UUAUUGGGAUCAAGGGUGGUAAUUACAGGGUGGAAAAACGAACGGAAAAAUAACAGAGAGAAACUUUUCCACCCUCGAUCCCGAACUUCGUCACAUUCAUCAUUGUUCUUGCCAACCGACCUUCUUUCCCUUUCUUCGAUUUCUUUUUCGGGGGAGGCCACCUCGUAAAUUCGAAAACGCGGCGAAGAUUCCUCGCGAUGACACACUUAACCGUCGUUCCCGCGCAAAAAACUGCGACCGGGAUCUCGGUGGAAAUCCUGCUUCAACUUCCAUAUACACACGGAGAGAGAGAAGAGAGAGAGAGAGAGAGAGAGAGAAGGCGAUAUAUACACGCUGAAAACAAAAGGGAUGAAAUAUUUCUUGGCGCGGAAAGUUGAGGAAAAUUCUUCUCGUCAGAAAGAGAGAGGGAAGAGAAAGAAAUC